rnacentral:rRNA from 1 species
GAUGAACGCUAGCUACAGGCGUAACACAUGCAAGUCGCGGGGCAGCAUGGGGGUUGCUUGCAACUCCCGAUGGCGACCGGCGCACGGGUGAGUAACGCGUAUCCAACCUGCCCUUCACCACGGGAUAACCCGGCGAAAGUCGGACUAAUACCGUAUGUUGUCCAUUGACGGCAUCCGAUUUGGACGAAAGGCUUUGCGGUGAAGGAUGGGGAUGCGUCCGAUUAGCCAGACGGCGGGGUAACGGCCCACCGUGGCUACGAUCGGUAGGGGUUCUGAGAGGAAGGUCCCCCACACUGGAACUGAGACACGGUCCAGACUCCUACGGGAGGCAGCAGUGAGGAAGAUUGGUCAAUGGGCGUAAGCCUGAACCAGCCAAGUAGCGUGCAGGAUGACGGCCCUAUGGGUUGUAAACUGCUUUUAUGCGGGGAUAAAGUGGCCCACGUGUGGGCUUUUGCAGGUACCGCAUGAAUAAGGACCGGCUAAUUCCGUG